rnacentral:rRNA from 1 species
GACGAACGCUGGCGGCGUGCUUAACACAUGCAAGUCGAACGGAAAGGCUCCAGCUUGCUGGAGUACUCGAGUGGCGAACGGGUGAGUAACACGUGGGUGAUCUGCCCUGCACUUCGGGAUAAGCCUGGGAAACUGGGUCUAAUACCGGAUAGGACCGCACUUUGGUGUGUGUGGUGGAAAGGUUUUUCUGGUGUGGGAUGAGCUCGCGGCCUAUCAGUUUGUUGGUGGGGUAAUGGCCUACCCAGACGGCGACGGGUAGCCGGCCUGAGAGGGUGGACGGUCACACUGGGACUGAGAGACGGCCCAGACUCCUACGGGAGGCAGCAGUGGGGAAUAUUGCACAAUGGGGGAAACCCUGAUGCAGCGACGCCGCGUGGGGGAUGAAGGCCUUCGGGUUGUAAACUCCUUUCGCUAGGGACGAAGCUUUUUGUGACGGUACCUGGAGAAGAAGCACCGGCUAACUACGUG